CUUUGUGGUUCAUGACUGGGGUGAAGUCGUAACAAGGUAGCGCUAGGGGAACCUGGCGCUGGAUCACCUCCUUACACGAUGAU
rnacentral:rRNA from 1 species